rnacentral:lncRNA from 1 species
GAACUUAGAUCAAAUCAGAUUGAAACAAAUUAACCUGGACACAGAAAUUGAUCAAAAAAUUGCCCAACACGAAAAAGAGGAGUGGGGUGCCUACAUCUUUGAUGUAGGCACCUACAUGAGGAUGUAGGCUCCUACAUCCCGGAUGUAGGCGCCUACAUCCACUACAUUGGGUUUGAUUUUAGGUGCCUUCCUUACAUCAUUUUUAUAUUCAUUGGAUCAGACCCA